GACGAACGCUGGCGGCGUGCUUAACACAUGCAAGUCGAACGGUGAACCGGGCUUCGGCCCGGGGAUCAGUGGCGAACGGGUGCGUAACACGUGGGCAGCCUGCCCCAGACUCUGGGAUAACUCCGGGAAACCGGGGCUAAUACCGGAUACUCUCGACCGACCGCAUGACUGGUCGAGGAAAGCUCCGACGGUCUGGGAUGGGCCCGCGGCCUAUCAGCUUGUUGGUGGGGUAACGCCUACCAAGGCGACGACGGGUAGCUGGUCUGAGAGGACGGCCAGCCACACUGGAACUGAGACACGGUCCAGACUCCUACGGGAGGCAGCAGUGGGGAAUCUUGCACAAUGGGCGAAAGCCUGAUGCAGCGACGCCGCGUGGGGAUGAAGGCCCUCGGGUUGUAAACCUCUUUCGGCAGGGACGAAGCGAAAGUGACGGUACCUGCAGAAGAAGUCCCGGCUAACUACGUGCCAGC
rnacentral:rRNA from 1 species